rnacentral:piRNA from 3 species
UCCAAGCAGUUGACCCGGGUUCGA